rnacentral:rRNA from 1 species
GAUGAACGCUGGCGGCGUGCCUAAUACAUGCAAGUCGAGCGAACAGACGCGGAGCUUGCUCCUCUGACGUUAGCGGCGGACGGGUGAGUAACACGUGGAUAACCUACCUAUAAGACUGGGAUAACUUCGGGAAACCGGAGCUAAUACCGGAUAAUAUAUUGAACCGCAUGGUUCAAUAGUGAAAGACGGUUUUGCUGUCACUUAUAGAUGGAUCCGCGCCGGAUUAGCUAGUUGGUAAGGUAACGGCUUACCAAGGCGACGAUGCGUGGGCGACCUGAGAGGGUGAUCGGCCACACUGGAACUGAGACACGGUCCAGACUCCUACGGGAGGCAGCAGUAGGGAAUCUUCCGCAAUGGGCGAAAGCUUGACGGAGCAACGCCGCGUGAGUGAUGAAGGUCUUCGGAUCGUAAAACUCUGUUAUUAGGGAAGAACAAAUGUGUAAGUAACUAUGCACGUCUUGACGGUACCUAAUCAGAAAGCCACGGCUAACUACGUG